GAUGAACGCUAGCGGCAGGCCUAAUACAUGCAAGUCGAGGGGUAUUGGAAGCUUGCUUCCAAGAGACCGGCGCACGGGUGCGUAACGCGUAUGCAACCUACCUUCACCUGGGGGAUAGCCCGGAGAAAUCCGGAUUAAUACCGCAUAAAAUCACAGUACCGCAUGGUACAAUGAUCAAACAUUCAUGGGGAGAAGAUGGGCAUGCGUGCCAUUAGUUAGUUGGCGGGGUAACGGCCCACCAAGACCGCGAUGGCUAGGGGAUCUGAGAGGAUGGCCCCCCACACUGGUACUGAGACACGGACCAGACUCCUACGGGAGGCAGCAGUAAGGAAUAUUGGUCAAUGGGCGCAAGCCUGAACCAGCCAUGCCGCGUGCAGGAAGACGGCCCUCUGGGUUGUAAACUGCUUUUAUUCGGGAAUAAACCUAUCUACGUGUAGAUAGCUGAAUGUACCGAAGGAAUAAGGAUCGGCUAACUCCGUGC
rnacentral:rRNA from 1 species